rnacentral:rRNA from 1 species
AGUUUGAUCCUGGCUCAGAACGAACGCUGGCGGCAGGCUUAACACAUGCAAGUCGAGCGCCCCGCAAGGGGAGCGGCAGACGGGUGAGUAACGCGUGGGAAUCUACCCUUGACUACGGAAUAACGCAGGGAAACUUGUGCUAAUACCGUAUGUGUCCUUCGGGAGAAAGAUUUAUCGGUCAAGGAUGAGCCCGCGUUGGAUUAGCUAGUUGGUGGGGUAAAGGCCUACCAAGGCGACGAUCCAUAGCUGGUCUGAGAGGAUGAUCAGCCACAUUGGGACUGAGACACGGCCCAAACUCCUACGGGAGGCAGCAGUGGGGAAUAUUGGACAAUGGGCGCAAGCCUGAUCCAGCCAUGCCGCGUGAGUGAUGAAGGCCCUAGGGUUGUAAAGCUCUUUCACCGGAGAAGAUAAUGAC